rnacentral:tRNA from 1 species
GCCCCAGUGGCGGAACCGGUAGACGCAGCAGACUCAAAAUCUGCCGCUCGCAAGGGCGUGUCCGUUCGAGUCGGACCUGGGGCACCA